GUGUAUGCCGCAACGACGCGCAACCCUUGUGCCUAUGUUGCCAGCGGGUAAUAGCCGGGGACUCGUAGGAGACUGCCGGGGUCAACUCGUGAGGAAGGUGGGGACGACGUCAAGUCAUCAUGCCCCUUACAUCCAGGGCUGCAAACAUGCUACAAUGGCCGGUACCAAGGGCUGCUAUCCCGCGAGGAUGGGCGAAUCCCAGAAAGCCGGACUCAGUUCGGAUCGGAGUCUGCAACUCGACUCCAUGAAGCCGGAGNUCGCUAGUAAUCCCGGAUCAGCAACGCCGGGGUGAAUACGUUCCCGGGCCUUGUACACANCCGACCCGUCACACCACGAGACGNUUGGUAGACAGCCCGAAAGCCCGGGAUGGNACCCAACCCGUUAGAAUGGAUGGGNAAGCCCCGAUCCGAAAACGGGUUGGGGAAGCCCAAGNCNGNAAUUUUGGGAGGNUAGAAGAGUUGCGUUUAAACAAUNNGGUANGACCCGNUAGCCNGGNANCAGGUGCCNGGACUGGGAAUUNCACCCAUNCCGUCUUUCNUCAAUNGNAGGAUUGCCACANCCCCUACGGUUUCCCACACNGUCCGCCCCNAGCGCCA
rnacentral:rRNA from 1 species